AACGAGUUCGUUUGUGUACAGGCUGUUAUGAAACAGAGUUGUUUAUUCUGUCGUAGAUUACAGAUGAGCAAAGAGGGACAGGCGUUUAAAAGAGUACCAAUAUACGCGAAUUGUUGAGCAGAGUCGGUAACAUUCAGUUCAAUUGAAACCAUUUGAAAGUGGUAAUAAUGUUUUUAAAUUUAUUAUCGCUCGCAUCAAAGGGACACAAAACGGAGAUAGAAUAGAGAUGAAGGACUUAAUUUGGAAAUCACUCCUUUUCAUACGCGCAAGAAUGAAAACCAGCACUGUUGAGUUGAAAUACAGCGAGCAUUCAGAUGUCUGGUAAACCUUUUGCCAAAGAUCAGAUAAUUGGCGAAGAAGAUGUUGGACAAGGAGCGUUUGCAUUGAUUUAGGGACGGAAGUAGAUGAAGAAGGAAGACUUGCAAGAUUGCAGAAGAUAUAUAUCAACAAUUGACUGAAAUUUGUGAUCCAUUUCAAAUGCCGUUUUUUGGUGUGAUUUUAUAACUAUUCUGCCCGUGCUCAAGUUGAGGCCCGGCGGACGACUUCGUUAACGAUCGUACCGUCUUCAGUUACCCCGUUGACUUUGCGUACAUUAUGAGCACGGUCUUUUAUUAGGUGUCUGCGACCAAGUGAACCGCCUAUAUGUUCGAGACUGCCUUUAAAUUAUCGAAUGCAGCUAGAAUAAGUAAACUAGAGCUGUAGGCAG